rnacentral:rRNA from 1 species
AUUGAACGCUGGCGGCAUGCUUUACACAUGCAAGUCGAACGGCAGCGCGGGCUUCGGCCUGACGGCGAGUGGCGAACGGGUGAGUAAUACAUCGGAACGUGCCCAGUAGUGGGGGAUAGCUCGGCGAAAGCCGGAUUAAUACCGCAUACGACCUGAGGGUGAAAGCGGGGGAUCUUCGGACCUCGCGCUAUUGGAGCGGCCGAUGGCAGAUUAGCUAGUUGGUGGGGUAAAGGCCUACCAAGGCGACGAUCUGUAGCUGGUCUGAGAGGACGACCAGCCACACUGGGACUGAGACACGGCCCAGACUCCUACGGGAGGCAGCAGUGGGGAAUUUUGGACAAUGGGCGAAAGCCUGAUCCAGCAAUGCCGCGUGUGUGAUGAAGGCCUUCGGGUUGUAAAGCACUCUUGGCGGGAACGAAAAGGACUGUGCCAAUACCACGGUUCGAUGACGGUACCCGCAGAAUAAGCACCGGCUAACUACGUG